UAAAAUCAUAAUAUUAUUCCAAAUUUUAAAAUUUUGUGAAUACCUCAAAUGAAUUUAUAUAAAAUAUACUUUAUUUAAAAAAAAAAAAUUAAUUUUCCAAAAAAAAUUUUUUUUUAGUUUUAAUUUUUUUUUAAUAUUGAAACAAUUCUUUAACAGUGAAAUGAAAAAUUUUAAACUUUAUUUCUUGUUUUAUUUUGAAAUUGUAAUAUAACUUAAAUUUUUGGCAAACACACGUACGCCUUAAUAACACACAUAAACAAUAUAACUAAAUAAUUAAUAUAACAAAUAAUUAAUUUAAAAAAUAAUAAUAAAUAAAAAAAUAAUAAAUUUAAAAAAUAAUACAUUUUUUAUCUAAAUAUAUAUUUUUUUAAGAACCAAACUCUUUUAUACUAAAAUCAAAAUGAUGCCAUACAAACGACGAGAGAAGUUCUCACUUUUUUACUCAGUAACCGCAACAAGUGAACAACACACACAUACACAUAUACACAUUCGUGCCUUUCAUUGUGUAAAACCGUCCCCACACUUUAGAGGAAUAAUUGCUUGUAUGGUUGCUUCACCGGAGCCAUGCAUUUCGCAAAUCGCCUUAAAUCACUAAACCGUUAUGUGCAACUUAACCGCUCUCAGCGCGUGUAAAAUUCAUUUCUCUUGCCUUAACUGCAGCUGAGCAAUUGCGGUUUAGUAUGAAAAUUACUUUGCCGUAAAUUACAGUUCAUCAUUACAUACAUACGUACAUAACGGUACUUAUGUAUGAAUUUAUGUAUGUAGAUGGUGUAAAAUAUGAAAUUGGCAAUGCUGAGCUGAUUUCGGAGGCGCUUAAACAGUGCUGGGUUUACAUCAGGAAAAGUUGUUCUCUUUGAUUUUUUCACAUGAUUUUUAAUAUUUAAAUUCUUGGCUUAGCUCUUAAUCUUAUACAAUAUAGUAUAAUAUUGUACCUCCUUAUUUUAUUAGAGAGAUUAAAUAUUUUUUUUUUACUUGCAGUUGAAUACUUUUCAGCCUUCAAAAAAUGUUUAGAAAUUUAAAAAGAUCGUUUUUUUUAGAAAUUUGAAUUUUUUAAUAGAGUUUCUAUUUAGUGCAAUAUGGCAUUACACCAUACCAGUUAUAGGCUUGCCACCCAUUAAAAAUUUCUUUAAAAUAUUCUAAUUCGAUAUUCGAUAAUUUUUGAAAGCAAAAACACAAAACAAAAUCAUACUAGGUUCAGGACUUAAUGGGAAGAAGCAAGGAAGUUGGGAUUGUUCGUUUUGGGUUAAUUUUAAUGGUAAUGUUAAAUGUCCACAAAGGGUUCUUAUCUGCAUUUUAAAGUACACUGGCCUCAAUAGCCUUCCUUAAAGUAAAAUCCUGUUAUAGUAUCCAUUGGAAGUACCACAUAACGACCACUAUAAUCCAAUAGCCUGCCGCAGAGGGGUAUUAAUUUAAGUUAUUCAGUACUGCUACUGUUUUGUUGCUCAAAUACUGUGAAAAGUUGUCGGUGUUCAGAUCGAUAUACAUCCGGCUCCAUCCUCCGAUUUCACUGGAUAUUAAUUGAAAAAUUCAAAAUGGAAAAUACCCCGAUUCUAUAUCAUUAAUUUUUAAAUCUCAACUCCAAACUGUUCGUGGCGAACAUAUCUAUGCCGUAAUAUACUUUAUUUCUUCUCUCUCCUUUUUGGUUUUACAUAUAUUUGGUUUGUCCAGGAUUUUCUUAUCACUUAUGACUGUUUAACUUAUGGUAUAUUUAGUUAAUAAGCUUAUUUGCUGAUGUUUCACGAAUAUGGGACGGUUUAUAUGGAUGUCGAUUACAAUUUUUUCCUCUAUGUAUCCUUAGUUUUCUACUUUCAUAAUAAUAAUACUUUUUUAAUCACUUUUUAUUAACAUAUACAUAUGUAUGUAUAUUUUUUGAAUGUUGCGUGAAUGAAAUUAAUUGCUAUUAACCGAUAUAUAAUAUACUUUGUAACCUCAAAUUAAUGUUCAUAAUAAGUCAGCUGGUUCAUUAUAACCUUAAAUGUUCUUAAAUACUUUCUAAGUAAGCUUUAUGUACACUUAAAAUCGCUAUGUGUAUAUAUAUGGUUUAUAAUUGCCUAAAGCUUUUAUGAAGUUAAAUACAAGGGUAGCUUAAAUUAUGAAUUUUUAAAUUUCACCACAUGGUGAAUUUUACAAAUUGUGAUGAAAAGUGAAAUAUAGUUUGAUAUAUGAACUUUAGAAGUUCAAGAGUUGUCUUUUAUAAACGAAACCAAACCGCUCUAUGAACUUUUGAAUUUCACCACGAGGUGAGUUUUUCAAAUUUUGUUGAAAAGUAAAAGAUGGCUUGAUAUACAUAUGAACUUUUGAAUUUCACCACGAGGUGACUUUUACAAAUUGUGGUGAAAAGUGGAAAGGCAUACUACGACGAUCAUUUGAUUGAAACGCGCAAGCUACCCUCUUAUAUACACAUAUAUUUUUUGCAAAACAAAAGUCUGCUUUAACAAAUUCGUUAACUUAAAAUUUAUUACAGCGCUGUUAGUAUAAGCUUUUGCUACAUUAUUAUAUAUCUAUUUGUUAUAUAACUUUUGUGUCAGCUUCAACAUUAUGCCUGCCAUAUUACUUAUGUACACGUAAAGCAAAUCUGUUCAACUAUUUUACUUAGUCAACAAUUAAGGUUCAACAAAGCUUGCUUUUCUUACAAUUAUCUAAAGUAAACGAAAUAUAAAAAAUGAUUAAAGAAGAUAGUAGUUAAUGUUAUUAGCCGUAAAAACUAUACUAAUUGAAAAUCUAGUCAAUAACACUUUCAUAAAAAAUUAAAUGAUAAGAAAAAAUGCACUGAAAAAAAUUUUAAAUUUUGCAAAACCGUUAAAAUGCGUGGAAAUUGUGAGUUAGAGAGAGAGAACGAUAGCUAAAAUUAGAGAUCGUGAGCGCGAGUAAAAGAGAGGAGCAGUGAGAUUUGAGUGAAACCCAAAUUGGAGCUUCUGGGUCACAUUUUUAUAUGCAUUAAAGUUCUACUCUACAUCUAUGUAACAGUACAGUUUACACUCUGUAACGCAUACUAAGUUUUUAUUAAACAACAUCGAAGUGAUUUCACUGAAAGCGAGAGUGAUUGGAAAUUUCGUAAGAUGAUUUAUUAGAAAAAAAGUAAAAUUCCAAAAUCGAUUGUUCAAGAUUUGGAAAUCUGGUAAAGAGAUUUGCGACAUGAGAACAACGGUAAAAUGGAAGAAAAAAUGAGAUAGAGGGAGAACGCGAGAUGUAGAGAGAGAAAACGAGAGAUAGAGACAAAAAAGAGAGCAAGAGAGAAAGAAGAGAGUUAGCAAGUAUAAGAGAGCGCGUGUAUGAAUUAUAAUACGAAUUAUAUGAUGCUAAACAUAGUCGAAUUGGAAUAAUUACAAACAACAAAAACUAUUAAUUGCAAUUGACUUGGCAUGACUAUGAUUAAGUACCAAUAUUAUUAUAUAGAAUACCCUAAAUAUAAUAUAUAAUAUUAUAUAUAAUUGUAGAAAAACGUAUGUAUGUAUGUAAGAUUACUGAAACACUUAUUUGAAAAAUCUUAAUCAAUAUAUAUAUUCCAAGUAAAUAAGUCCAAAUAUUAAUAAAAGUACAUAAGGAAAAAUA